CUCGGACAAAUCUCCCUCUUCGGUUUCCACGAACCAAAUCCCAACAACUCACAAGCCAUACCCUUCAAGCUAACCCUUGACCUCUCACCAUAACUAAAUGGAAAAUUUACCUUUACCAGAUCACGAACGUCAACUUUCUUAACCACUACUCUAACUAGCCCACCGAGCUUAGCGACAGUUUUAGCAAUACCUAUUCCUACAAAAACAAACCUCUCAUCACGAAAUAGAUCACUAAGGCAUUCGCCGAGAUUGGUAUUUUGUUUCAUAUGAAGUAGUUGGAGUAUGAGGCAUUUGGUUUUGAUGCAUAGUUGAAGAGUCGAGAUUUUUGCAUCAUCUUGAGGAUUGGUCUUGGAGUUUAGAGAGAUGAUCACCGUUGGUUCAUCUCGGUAG